rnacentral:rRNA from 1 species
UACGUAGGGGGCAAGCGUUGUCCGGAAUCAUUGGGCGUAAAGCGCGUGUAGGCGGUUCGGUAAGUCCGCUGUGAAAGUCGGGGGCUCAACCCUCGGAUGCCGGUGGAUACUGUCGAGCUUGAGUACGGAAGAGGCGAGUGGAAUUCCUGGUGUAGCGGUGGAAUGCGCAGAUAUCAGGAGGAACACCGAUGGCGAAGGCAGCUCGCUGGGACGGUACUGACGCUGAGGCGCGAAAGCGUGGGGAGCGAACAGG